rnacentral:snRNA from 1 species
GUGCUCACUUCAACAGCACAUAUACUAAAACUGGAUUGAUAAAGAGAAGAUUAGCAUGAUGACAUGCAAAUUUGUGAAGCAUUCCAUAUUUAA